AGUGAACGCUGGCGGCAGGCCUAACACAUGCAAGUCGAACGGUAGCACAGAGAGCUUGCUCUCGGGUGACGAGUGGCGGACGGGUGAGUAAUGUCUGGGAAACUGCCUGAUGGAGGGGGAUAACUACUGGAAACGGUAGCUAAUACCGCAUAACGUCGCAAGACCAAAGAGGGGGACCUUCGGGCCUCUUGCCAUCAGAUGUGCCCAGAUGGGAUUAGCUAGUAGGUGGGGGAACGGCUCACCUAGGCGACGAUCCCUAGCUGGUCUGAGAGGAUGACCAGCCACACUGGAACUGAGACACGGUCCAGACUCCUACGGGAGGCAGCAGGGGGGAAUAUUGCACAAUGGGCGCAAGCCUGAUGCAGCCAUGCCGCGUGUAUGAAGAAGGCCUUCGGGUUGUAAAGUACUUUCAGCGGGGAGGAAGGUGUUGUGGUUAAUAACCACAGCAAUUGACGUUACCCGCAGAAGAAGCACCGGCUAACUCCGUGCCAGCAGCCGCCGUAAAAC
rnacentral:rRNA from 1 species